rnacentral:lncRNA from 1 species
UGUUGGGUUGCGUGGGGGGUGCGGUCGCCCUGCCCUCCGCCAGUCCUGCGGCGUAUUUAUGGCGAGGCCGACGGGGGGACCCACAGGAUUUUGUCUGUCUUGCCCAUCGGGACCGUAUCCGAGGUGGGUGCCUCCCCCGGGGGCCCCAGUGUGCCCGACCCCUUCGCUUGGGGUCGGACGAGGCGGAACUCCGUGGCGAGGGGUCGGGCGCCCCCGACCCCGGGGUCACAGUCGGGCGAGGCGGAAACUUUGCGGAGGGGGGUCGGACGUUCUCGAUCCUGGCGCCUUGGUCGGGCGAGGCGGGACUUUGAUUACGCCUAGGUGGGCUCGGGUCUCCGCGUCUGCUUCCUUAAAUGGUGUCGUAGGGGAUCGUUAAUAUUUCCCCCCAACAGUAGCCCCCGAG